rnacentral:rRNA from 1 species
GAUGAACGCUGGCGGCGUGCCUAAUACAUGCAAGUCGAGCGAACAGACGAGGAGCUUGCUCCUCUGACGUUAGCGGCGGACGGGUGAGUAACACGUGGAUAACCUACCUAUAAGACUGGGAUAACUUCGGGAAACCGGAGCUAAUACCGGAUAAUAUAUUGAACCGCAUGGUUCAAUAGUGAAAGACGGUUUUGCUGUCACUUAUAGAUGGAUCCGCGCCGCAUUAGCUAGUUGGUAAGGUAACGGCUUACCAAGGCAACGAUGCGUAGCCGACCUGAGAGGGUGAUCGGCCACACUGGAACUGAGACACGGUCCAGACUCCUACGGGAGGCAGCAGUAGGGAAUCUUACGCAAUGGGCGAAAGCCUGACGGAGCAACGCCGAGUGAGUGAUGAAGGUCUUCGGAUCGUAAAACUCUGUUAUUAGGGAAGAACAAAUGUGUAAGUAACUAUGCACGUCUUGACGGUACCUAAUCAGAAAGCCACGGCUAACUACGUG